rnacentral:misc_RNA from 1 species
AGGAAGGCUCAUGAUGGCAAGAAGACUGUGGCUUUUGCUGAGAUUUCAUCAUAAUACUACAAUUAAAUUUCAUUCUUCUUCGUAAUACAUAAUUAUUUGAACCACAAAAUGUAAUAACACAAUUAUUUAAAUAUUCUCCACUUUUUCUAUUUUAAUUAGUUGAUUUUUGGUUUUCGAUUUUGAUGUAAUUUGCUCAAUAUUUUUCCACUUUACAAAAAU